rnacentral:tmRNA from 1 species
GGGGCUGACCUGGUUUCGACGUGGGUAUAGAGUCAAGAAGGGCAUGCCGAGCACUCCAGUUUGCUCGUUUAAUCUGUCUGGAAAACAUUUAAGCGCAAACGAUUCUUCGUACGCUCUCGCUGCUUAAUCGCGGCGAGCCGCUCACCGGCAGGCCAAUGGUCCGGGUUGAAGGCUGAAAGGCUAGAGACAGAGCGGUCAUUUACAUUGGCUGGUUCAGGGCCGGGUCACUCGGCUCUGGACGAGAUUAAGUGACUGGCGGUUACCGUAGCCUGCUGCUGGGCGACGGUAAUGGCGAGACUCAAAUCAGACAGCUACGCAUGUAGAACUGCUUGGCAAAGUCUUGCGGACGGGGGUUCGAUUCCCCCCAGCUCCACCA